CAAGGCUCCAAUCACAUUGCUAUACAACAUUCAAAAGCCCACAAAUCACUCAAUUUGAACAUGUCAGACAACCAACCAGCACGCAUCAGACAGGGUAGGGAGACCCAGACUGCGUCGGCUAGAGAGGGAAUGGGUGGCGCUAAGGGAAGAAAGGGUUCUUCAACCUCGUGCUCUCGCGGAGUGAAGGAGGUGAAGGAGAAGAAGAAGGUUUUGACUGGUUCUGCUUCUCGUCCCCUGGGGGUCCAUGGCUCGGACGUGCAGGCUCAGUCUUCAGGCGUGAGAGUCAUG